rnacentral:rRNA from 1 species
CCUACGGGAGGCAGCAGUAGGGAAUCUUCCACAAUGGGCGAAAGCCUGAUGGAGCAACGCCGCGUGGGUGAAGAAGGUCUUCGGAUCGUAAAACCCUGUUGUUAGAGGAGAAAGUGCGUGAGAGUAACUGUUCACGUUUCGACGGUAUCUAACCAGAAAGCGACGGCUAACUACGUGCCAGCAGCCGCGGUAAGACGUAGGUGGCAAGCGUUAUCCGGAUUUAUUGGGAGUAAAGGGAACGCAGGCGGUCUUUUACGUCUGAUGUGAAAGCCUUCGUCUUAACCGGAGUAGUGCAUUGGAAACUGGCGGACUUGAGUGGAGGAGAGGAGAGCGGAACUCGAGGUGUAGCGGUGAAAUGCGUAGAUAUAUGGCAGAACACCAGUGGCGAAGGCGGCACUCUGGUCUGUAACUGACGCUGAGGUUCGAAAGCGUGGGUAGCGAACAGGAUUAGAUACCCUAGUAGUC